CAAAGAUUAAGGACUUCUAUUGGGAGGAGUUUAAGGGUAUGUUAUCUGAAGCAAGAUCCUCCGAGGAGAAGCGAAAAAAUAUCCCAAAAUCUAUUUGGGAGAGCUGGAAGCCUCACCAUGAUACUGAGGAUUUUAAGGCUAAAUCUGCACAAUGUUAAAAAAAUUGACUAAGUGAGAAAUGUGGUGAAGGAUCUGGUCCCUCACGCCAUACUGGAGGCUCCCAGACUCACCGAGAGCAUGCAAGACAACUGGCGAUUGUACUUGGACGGCCACCUCAUCCGCAUGAACUUUUGAAGAAGACACAUACCAAAGGAAACAAUGAGUUUGUGGAUCUGAAGUCUAAGAGCACAUAUGAUGCUGUAAUGUCUAAGAUCACGUCUGCAUCUCAGCUUGUAGAUGAAUCUGGCGAGUCUCCGACAAUUGAUUUUUCGAAGGCUUACAUGGAUGAAGUGGGUGGGGUUAAGAAGGCAUGUAUAUAUGGUCUUGGUUCUCAAGCGGCUUUCUAUGAGAACGUUGGUUCGUCAUCUGCUUCAACUACUCAAUCUCAAGAUUGUGAUUUUGAUACUCGAGUGAAGGAGUACGUUCAAGAAAUGAAGGAGGAGAUGAAGGAUGAGAUGAGAGAAGAAUUGUGUGAAGAAAUGAAACACGAAAUGCAGCUAGAAAUGCAAGAGCAAGUUGAUAAGAUUCUCCAAGAACGUUUGCCUAUCCUCAUAGCUGGCCUACCUAAACCACCAUGUGGUACACCACCCCUUGAUACACCAAAUUAGCUUAGACAUGACUCAUCAUCACAUAACAAUAUGGGUCAUUUAAAAUUUCCAAACUAUCUUAGGCAGAAUUUUCUUUGUUUGUUUCCAUAUUUAGAUUUAUUUUGAACUCUUUUUGUUAGGAUUUGCA